CCUACGGGAGGCAGCAGUGGGGAAUAUUGGGCAAUGGAGGAAACUCUGACCCAGCGACGCCGCGUGCGGGAUGAAGGCCUUCGGGUUGUAAACCGCUUUCAGUAGGGAAGAAGCGAAAGUGACGGUACCUACAGAAGAAGCACCGGCUAACUAUGUGCCAGCAGCCGCGGUAAUACAUAGGGUGCAAGCGUUGUCCGGAAUUAUUGGGCGUAAAGAGCUCGUAGGUGGUUCGUCACGUCGGAUGUGAAAAUCUGGGGCUCAACCCCAGACCUGCAUUCGAUACGGGCGAUCUAGAGUGUGGUAGGGGAGACUGGAAUUCCUGGUGUAGCGGUGGAAUGCGCAGAUAUCAGGAGGAACACCAAUGGCGAAGGCAGGUCUCUGGGCCAUUACUGACACUGAGGAGCGAAAGCGUGGGGAGCGAACAGGAUUAGAUACCCUGGUAGUCCACGCCGUAAACGGUGGGCACUAGUUGUGGGAACCUUCCACGGUUUCUGCGACGCNGCUACGCAUAGUAGCCCGCCGUCGGGAGGUACGAGUCGCGAAGAAGUUAAAACGUUAAAACGGUAAAGUUAGUACGGCGUUGUAGACGUUGCCGACGGCGACGACGAGGGAGGAGG
rnacentral:rRNA from 1 species